rnacentral:lncRNA from 1 species
CCCUGAGGCAUGCUGGGGAAUGCAGUUCCCCCAGCCACAACACUUUACAACCCACACUGGCCGCCUGACCAUGUGAUUAACUGGGCCCCUUGCCAGGACUUGUGAAAUGGCCCAGGGCCCUUUGGGAAUCUAGGAUCUGAUGAAGCAGAAGUAAUGUAUCCAGGGACUUUUGUUCUUUCACAGUCACUUUCAUGUGGACAAUAUUCUUUCUCAUAAGUUCCUCUGGAUUGCCCUGGAUCAUUACUUUGCUACUCUGUUUUUGGUCUGCCUAGCUUUGGAAUCAGUACCACUUUUGUGUCAUUAAAAGAAUUUGUACUCAGUCCUCUCUGAAGAAGGCAAUUUGAAGAAAGAACAGAAAGAAAUCUGGGACCAGAGGAUGCUUAAAAAGAUUUUAGGAAAGGAAAGAAGAAGGCGGCCACAGACCUCUAGAGGAAAAGGCCUGCAGGUGAUGGCCUGGACAGACAAGCCAAGGGCAAGUUGGGACUUGGGGCAAACCACCUGGCAGCCUGGCCAGAAGGGAGAAGAAGAACACUUAAUGCAGACACGAGGGGGUUGGGCACAGGCAAGGUA